AUUGAACGCUGGCGGCAUGCCUUACACAUGCAAGUCGAACGGUAACGGGCCUUCGGGUGCCGACGAGUGGCGAACGGGUGAGUAAUGUAUCGGAACGUACCUUUCAGUGGGGGAUAACGUAGCGAAAGUUACGCUAAUACCGCAUAUUCUGUGAGCAGGAAAGCAGGGGAUCGCAAGACCUUGCGCUGAUUGAGCGGCCGAUAUCAGAUUAGCUAGUUGGUGAGGUAAGGGCUCACCAAGGCGAAGAUCUGUUGCGGGUCUGAGAGGAUGAUCCGCCACACUGGAACUGAGCCACGGUCCAGACUCCUACGGGAGGCAGCAGUGGGGAAUUUUGGACAAUGGGGGCAACCCUGAUCCAGCCAAGCCGCGUGAGUGAAGAAGGCCUUCGGGUUGUAAAGCUCUUUCGGCCGGGAAGAAAUCGUAUCAGCUAAUACCUGGUGCGGAUGACGGUACCGGCAUAAGAAGCACCGGCUAACUACGUGCCAGCCGCCGCGGUAACAC
rnacentral:rRNA from 1 species